GAUAACUGGCUUGUGGAGGCCAAGCGUUCAUAGAGACGUGGCUUGUUGAUCCUUCGAUGUCGGCUCUUCCUAUCAUUGCGAAGCAGAAUUCGCCAAUCGUCGGAUUUUUCACCCGCCAGUAGGGAACGUGAGCUGGGUUUAGACCGUCGUGAGACAGGUU
rnacentral:misc_RNA from 13 species